rnacentral:tRNA from 1 species
GCUGUGGCUUAGUGGUAGUGCACUUGCCUGGCAUGUGUGAGACACUGGGUUUGAUUCUCAGCACCGCA